GCUGUUGUAGCUCAGUGGUAGAGCACUUCCUUGGUAAGGAAGAGGUCGCGAGUUCAAUUCUCAUCAACAGCUCUA
rnacentral:tRNA from 1 species